rfam:Schistosoma mattheei strain Denwood, Zambia genome assembly, scaffold: SMTD_scaffold0011128
AGCCUUUUGAAUCCGUACAAGAGAUUUUGUCAGACACCAAUCCAUUAGGGCUGAUCGAACUUCCAAGAUUAAUGAAGUU